GGGGGGAGCAAGCGUUGUUCGGAUUCAUUGGGCGUAAAGGGCGCGUAGGUGGCCUUGUAAGUCCGACGUGAAAUGUACCGGUUCAACCGGGGCACUGUGUCGGAAACUGCUUGGCUUGAGGUCGAGGGAGGAAAGUGGAAUUCCUGGUGUAGCGGUGAAAUGCGUAGAUAUCAGGAGGAACACCCGUGGCGAAGGCGGCUUUCUAUCUCGAUUCUGACGCUGAUGCGCGAAAGCUAGGGGAGCAAACGGGAUUAGAUACCUCGGUAGUCCUAGCCGUAAACGAUGGACACUAGGUGUGGGAGGUAUCGACCCCUUCCGUGCCGCAGCUAACGCAUUAAGUGUCCCGCCUGGGAGUACGGCCGCAAGGUUG
rnacentral:rRNA from 1 species